GACGAACGCUGGCGGCGCGCUUAACACAUGCAAGUCGAACGGAAAGGCCUGCUUUCCCUUGUGGAUUGCGGGUACUCGAGUGGCGAACGGGUGAGUAACACGUGAGUGAUCUGCCCCCAACUUGGGUAUAAGCCUGGGAAACUGGGUCUAAUUCCCGAUAGGACUGCAGGGUGGUGCCUGUGGUGGAACACGAUUUUCUAGUGGUUGGGGAUGAGCUCGCGGCCUAUCAGCUUGUUGGUGGGGUAAUGGCCUACCAAGGCGGCGACGGGUAGCCGGCCUGAGAGGGUGGACGGCCACAUUGGGACUGAGAUACGGCCCAGACUCCUACGGGAGGCAGCAGUGGGGAAUAUUGCACAAUGGGCGGAAGCCUGAUGCAGCGACGCCGCGUGGGGGAUGACGGCCUUCGGGUUGUAAACUCCUUUCGACCGCGAGGAAGCCACCUGGUUGGAAGGGUGGUGACGGUAGUGGUAGAAGAGGCACCGGCUAACUACGUG
rnacentral:rRNA from 1 species